CCUUCUUUCCCCGGUCUGCUGCCGAGGGCGCAGUCUGCAUUUUCACAGGCAGAUUGGAAUACGGCGCAGUGCUCGCGCAGCGGACCUCGGCAGUCUGUGUUUUUUUUUCCGGCCGACACUUCUCGUCGUGUUUUAAGCCCACGGAGCCAGUUGUGCCAACUAGUUAAAUAUGCUUCGGAGUACACGGGACACCGAUGACGUUAUAACAGCAUCUUCUGGACCAGGAAUGCAUGUCCACCCAGCUGUGAUGACGUGGGAAGUUGUUUUUCGUGCUUAAACAUUAAAGUUAGUAUAAACGACAAUUCUUAAAUAUUUCACAAACACUG